rnacentral:misc_RNA from 1 species
GAUGAAGAACGUAGCGAAAUGCGAUAAGUAAUGUGAAUUGCAGAAUUCAGUGAAUCAUCGAAUCUUUGAACGCACCUUGCACCCUUUGGCAUUCUGAAGGGUAUGCUCGUUUGAGUGUCAUUGUACUCUCACACUCCCGAUCUUUGCAUUGGGAGCAGUGGACUUGGGUUUGCUGCUUCACCGUCGCUUACCUCAAAUAGGUUAGUGCAACUCUUGGUUGGACAUAGUACGGCGUGAUAAGUGUUCUUCGCCGGUGCCUCGCAAAGAGGGUGGCCGAUCGGGAUGUUGUGCUCCAAACCGUCUUCGGACAAUCUCUGACGACUUGACCUCAAAUCGAGUAAGACUACCCGCUGAACUUAAGCAUAUCAAUAAGGAGGA